rnacentral:rRNA from 1 species
UGGGGAAUUUUGGACAAUGGGCGCAAGCCUGAUCCAGCCAUGCCGCGUGCGGGAAGAAGGCCUUCGGGAUGUAAACCGCUUUUGUCAGGGAAGAAUCUUCUGAGUUAAUACCUCGGGAGGAUGACGGUACCUGAAGAAUAAGCACCGGCUAACUACGUGCCAGCAGCCGCGGUAAUACGUAGGGUGCAAGCGUUAAUCGGAGUUACUGGGCGUAAAGCGCGCGCAGGCGGUUUUGUAAGACAGAGGGUGAAAUCCCCGGGCUCAACCUGGGAACUGCCUUUGUGACUGCAAGGCUUGAGUGCGGCAGAGGGGGGAUGGAAUUCCGCGUGUAGCAGUGAAAUGCGUAGAUAUGCGGAGGAAACA